UGCCUACGGGGCGCAGCAGUGGGGGAUAUUGCACAAUGGGGGGAACCCUGAUGCAGCGACGCCGCGUGGGUGAAGAAGCGCCUCGGCGCGUAAAGCCCUGUCAGCAGGGAAGAAAAUGACGGUACCUGAAGAAGAAGCCCCGGCUAACUACGUGCCAGCAGCCGCGGUAAUACGUAGGGGGCAAGCGUUAUCCGGAUUUAUUGGGUUUAAAGGGUGCGUAGGCGGAAUGCCAAGUCAGCGGUAAAAUCGCGGGGCUCAACCUCGCUACGCCGUUGAAACUGGCGUUCUUGAGUGGGAGAGAAGUA
rnacentral:rRNA from 1 species